rnacentral:rRNA from 1 species
GACGAACGCUGGCGGCGUGCUUAACACAUGCAAGUCGAACGGAAAGGCCCUGCUUUUGUGGGGUGCUCGAGUGGCGAACGGGUGAGUAACACGUGAGUAACCUGCCCUUGACUUUGGGAUAACUUCAGGAAACUGGGGCUAAUACCGGAUAGGAGCUCCUGCUGCAUGGUGGGGGUUGGAAAGUUUCGGCGGUUGGGGAUGGACUCGCGGCUUAUCAGCUUGUUGGUGGGGUAGUGGCUUACCAAGGCUUUGACGGGUAGCCGGCCUGAGAGGGUGACCGGGCCCCUUGGGGCGUAGGGACGGCCCAGAGCCCUACGGGGGGGAAGAGGGGGGGAUUUUGCACAAUGGGGCGAAGGCCGAUUGAGGAAAGCCGGGUGGGGGAUGGCGGGCUUUGGGUUUGAAACCCCUUUCGGCUGGGGACAAGGGGGGGGGGCGGGAAUUGGGAAAAAAGGCCCCGCCUACUUCGUG